rnacentral:rRNA from 1 species
CUACGGGUGGCUCCAGUAGGGAAUCUUAGACAAUGGGGGAAACCCUGAUCUAGCCAUGCCGCGUGAGUGAUGAAGGCCUUAGGGUUGUAAAGCUCUUUCGCUGGGGAAGAUAAUGACGGUGCCCAGUAAAGAAACCCCGGCUAACUCCGUGCCAGCAGCCGCGGUAAUACGGAGGGGGUUAGCGUUGUUCGGAAUUACUGGGCGUAAAGCGCGCGUAGGCGGGCUAUUAAGUCAGGGGUGAAAUCCCGGGGCUCAACCCCGGAACUGCCUUUGAUACUGGUAGUCUUGAGUUCGAGAGAGGUGAGUGGAAUUCCGAGUGUAGAGGUGAAAUUCGUAGAUAUUCGGAGGAACAUCAGUGGCGAAGGCGACUCACUGGCUCGAUACUGACGCUGAGGUGCGAAAGUGUGGGGAGCAAACAGGAUUAGAUACCCCUGUAGUC